rnacentral:tRNA from 1 species
AGUAAAAUGGCUGAUAAAAGUGAUAAAUUGUAAAUUUAUUUAUGAAAUAAUAAUUUCUUUUACUA